CUAACACUGGUUCCUGUACGAUCACCAAAGUUAACCAACAUUGAGCCUGGUCAGUAUCUACAUGGGUGACCAUUUGGGAAUACCAGGUUCUGUA